UACAGAGGGGGCAAGCGUUGUUCGGAAUUACUGGGCGUAAAGGGCGCGUAGGCGGCCUGCUAAGUCGAACGUGAAAUCCCUGGGCUCAACCCAGGAACUGCGUCCGAUACUGGUUGGCUUGAAUUCGGGAGAGGGAUGUGGAAUUCCAGGUGUAGCGGUGAAAUGCGUAGAUAUCUGGAGGAACACCGGUGGCGAAGGCGGCAUCCUGGACCGAUAUUGACGCUGAGGCGCGAAAGCCAGGGGAGCAAACGGG
rnacentral:rRNA from 1 species